AUCGCUUCUCGGCCUUUUGGCUAAGAUCAAGUGUAGUAUCUGUUCUUAUCAGUUUAAUAAAAUAAGCAUUUUUUUUCCUGUAAUGUAGACUUCUCAAGGCAUGGACUCUUUCAGUCUUCUGUAUAUGCUUUUUAGUGCCCAUGGACUCCACGUGUAAAUGCUCAGAAAAUAUUUACUGCUUAAUUUUGGUCUGUACAUCCU
rnacentral:snRNA from 1 species